rnacentral:rRNA from 1 species
CCUUUGACGUUAGCGGCGGACGGGUGAGUAACACGCGGGUAACCUACCUAUAAGACUGGGAUAACUUCGGGAAACCGGAGCUAAUACCGGAUAAUAUUCGAACCGCAUGGUUCGAUAGUGAAAGGUGGUUUUGCUAUCACUUAUAGAUGGACCCGCGCCGUAUUAGCUAGUUGGUAAGGUAACGGCUUACCAAGGCGACGAUACGUAGCCGACCUGAGAGGGUGAUCGGCCACACUGGAACUGAUACACGGUCCAGACUCCUACGGGAGGCAGCAGCA